AUACAGUAGUGCAUGGCUGCUUUAAAGGUAAUGUUUCUUGAUUGUUAGUUGACUCUCAAGAAUAUCCGGUGUGCUUAUUUCAUCUCAACAGUUAGUUUGAGUUAAGCCGAGUCAUUAUGCUCUGUUUAUUUUGGCUGUCCAUGUGUUACAAAAACUGUUGUUUUGUAGCCUAUGUUUUAUAGGUAUUUCUCAAGUUUGUUAUUCUAAUCUAGUAUUGUAACUUGGUAGUGAGGCAGGAAUUCUUAGUAAUCUUUUGUUCGUUUCUUUUAGGUGAAGAAAAGAUAAGCUUUAUACAUACUGCCCGUCAAGCGCUGAGCUUAUAAAAUCUUUAUAUCAGUUAGGUAACGCAGUAUUAACUGUUUAUAUUUAAUGGUUGUUAAGUCGUAACAUGGUA
rnacentral:rRNA from 14 species